CAUAUCAAUAAGCGGAGGAAAAGAAACUAACAAGGAUUCCCCUAGUAACUGCGAGUGAAGCGGGAAAAGCUCAAAUUUAAAAUCUGGCAGCCUUUGGUUGUCCGAGUUGUAAUCUAGAGAAGUGUUAUCCGCGCUGGACCGUGUACAAGUCUCCUGGAAUGGAGCGUCAUAGAGGGUGAGAAUCCCGUCUUUGACACGGACUGCCAGGGCUUUGUGAUGCGCUCUCGAAGAGUCGAGUUGUUUGGGAAUGCAGCUCAAAAUGGGUGGUAAAUUCCAUCUAAAGCUAAAUAUUGGCGAGAGACCGAUAGCGAACAAGUACCGUGAGGGAAAGAUGAAAAGAACUUUGGAAAGAGAGUUAAACAGUACGUGAAAUUGCUGAAAGGGAAACGCUUGAAGUCAGUCGCGUUGUCCAGGGAUCAACCUUGCUUUUGCUUGGUGCACUUUCUGGUUGACGGGUCAGCAUCAAUUUUGACUAUUGGAAAAAGAUUAGGGGAAUGUGGCAUCCUCGGAUGUGUUAUAGCCCUUAGUUGCAUACAAUGGUUGGGAUUGAGGAACUCAGCACGCCGCAAGGCCGGGUUUUUAACCACGUACGUGCUUAGGAUGCUGGCAUAAUGGCUUUAAUCGACCCGUCUUGAAACACGGACCAAGGAGUCUAACAUGCCUGCGAGUGUUUGGGUGGAAAACCCGAGCGCGUAAUGAAAGUGAAAGUUGAGAUCCCUGUCGUGGGGAGCAUCGACGCCCGGACCAGACCUUUUGUGACGGUUCCGCGGUAGAGCAUGUAUGUUGGGACCCGAAAGAUGGUGAACUAUGCCUGAAUAGGGUGAAGCCAGAGGAAACUCUGGUGGAGGCUCGUAGCGAUUCUGACGUGCAAAUCGAUCGUCAAAUUUGGGUAUAGGGGCGAAAGACUAAUCGAAUCAUCCUAGUAGCUGG
rnacentral:rRNA from 1 species